rnacentral:rRNA from 1 species
UACGUAGGGAGCAAGCGUUAUCCGGAUUUAUUGGGUGUAAAGGGUGCGUAGACGGGAAGGCAAGUUAGUUGUGAAAUCCCUCGGCUCAACUGAGGAACUGCAACUAAAACUACAUUUCUUGAGUGCAGGAGAGGAAAGUGGAAUUCCUAGUGUAGCGGUGAAAUGCGUAGAUAUUAGGAGGAACACCAGUGGCGAAGGCGACUUUCUGGACUGUAACUGACGUUGAGGCACGAAAGCGUGGGUAGCAAAC